GAUGAAGAACGUAGCGAAAUGCGAUACGUAAUGUGAAUUGCAGAAUUCAGUGAAUCAUCGAGUCUUUGAACGCACAUUGCGCCCCCUGGUAUUCCGGGGGGCAUGCCUGUCCGAGCGUCAUUGCUGCCCUCAAGCACGGCUUGUGUGUUGGGCCUCCGUCCUCCUCCCGGGGGACGGGCCCGAAAGGCAGCGGCGGCACCGCGUCCGGUCCUCGAGCGUAUGGGGCUUCGUCACCCGCUCUUGUAGGCCCGGCCGGCGCUUGCCGACACAUCAAUCUUUUUUCCAGGUUGACCUCGGAUCAGGUAGGGAUACCCGCUGAACUUAAGCAUAUCAUAAGGGAGGA
rnacentral:misc_RNA from 1 species